rnacentral:tRNA from 1 species
GCAUUGAUGAUUCAGUGGUAGAAUUUUUGCCUUUUAUGCUGGAGACCUAGGUUUGAUUCCUAGCUAACCCA